GAGGGGAUAGCUCAAUGGUAGAGUGCCUGCCUAGCAUGCAAAAGGUCCUGGGUUCAAUCCCCAGUACCUCCA
rfam:Camelus ferus unplaced genomic scaffold scaffold1022, whole genome shotgun sequence.